GUGCUCAGCUUCCGUGUUCUCUGAGAACACUAUCGUGCCCCAAUCUCUAUGUGUACACCGACCUUGAAGCAUUCCAAUCCUUAUCUUCUGGGUUUCUAUGGAGGCUUUAUUACUUAGGUAUGGUUGAUUAAAUCAUUGGCCAUUGGUGAUUGAUUCAACCUCUUCCCCACCCCCACCUUUAUCCCCUUAGGUUAGGGAGGUGGGCUGAAAGUUCUAACACUCCAAGCACUUGAUUGAUUCCCCUAGCAACCAGCCCUAUCCUUAGGUGCUUUACAAAAGUCAUCUCAUUAUAAACUCACAUGUGGUUGCAAGGGAUCUUUCAUGAAUAUCAAUCAAGAUACUUUUAUAGCUCUUAUCACUUAGGAAACUUCAAGGUAUCUAGAAACUCUGUGCCAGAAACAUGGAUAAAGACCAAAGUCCCUAUUCUAGGUGCUAUGUGGUGAUACAGAAAGGAGCAAGACUUGGCACCUGCUUUAAAGAGGAAGUUGGCAAAACAAAGAGUUGUAUUUAUCUCAAAGCCUUUCUUAGAAUUCAAAGUAAAGGACAGAAGAGGAGCCACAUGUAUUAUGCCCAAGAAAUAAUCUGAUCACUAAGGGAGAAACAAAACAGGUUGGGAAGAGGAAGAGACUCCAGAAUAAAACAGAACAUCAGAAAGAGAUCAUGAGUUGUGACUAUUUAAUUUAUAGUUAAGUGAAAUCCUAUGGCAUUGCAAAGAAU
rnacentral:lncRNA from 1 species